rnacentral:sRNA from 1 species
AAAAAAUGAAUCUAUAUAAAAUCUGAUGACAAAAAAAAACGAGUACUAUCAAAACAGAGCACAAUGAAUGCUAUAAAAUUAUUGGGUACAAUCUCUAGCAAAUUUCAACUUGAGACUUUUCUUUUAUUUAUUUCUUUAUAUACAUAUAUAUGAAACGAUUCAAUUAUAAACCGUAAACAACAAUUACCAAUCAAGAUUCUUAA